CAGACAUUUGGUUCAUGUGCUUGGCUGAUAAGCCAAUGGUGCGAAGCUACCAUCUGAGGGAUUAUGACUGAACGCCUCUAAGUCAGAAUCCCGCCUGGAAAGCGACGAUGCAUUCGUGCCUCGGCCUCGAGAGGCGUAGCUAGACGGCCGUGUGGCCGUGGAAAGAGCCCGAUUCCGACCCGAGAGGCCGCGGCAAGAGGCGGCCUCGAAGUCGGUGGAUCCUCCUGCUCGAAAGGCGGGGUGCUAAACCAUUCGCAGACGACCUAGUUGAAGAUCGGGGUGUCGUGAUCACUAGAGCAGUACAUCUCACUGCGAUUUGUUGAGAGUAAGCCUCAAGAUCUGUCGGUUUGU
rnacentral:ncRNA from 1 species